rnacentral:rRNA from 1 species
AUGAAUCAAAGAAGGUAAUAAUCCUGUAGUCGAAAAUGUUGUCUCUCUUGAGUGGAUCCUGAGUACGACGGAGCACGUGAAAUUCCGUCGGAAUCUGGGAGGACCAUCUCCUAAGGCUAAAUACUCUCUAGUGACCGAUAGUGAACCAGUACCGUGAGGGAAAGGUGAAAAGCACCCCGGAAGGGGAGUGAAAUAGAACCUGAAACCGUGUGCUUACAAGUAGUCAGAGCCCGUUAAUGGGUGAUGGCGUGCCUUUUGUAGAAUGAACCGGCGAGUUACGAUUUGAUGCAAGGUUAAGCAGUAAAUGUGGAGCCGUAGCGAAAGCGAGUCUGAAUAGGGCGUUUAGUAUUUGGUCGUAGACCCGAAACCAGGUGAUCUACCCUUGGUCAGGUUGAAGUUCAGGUAACACUGAAUGGAGGACCGAACCGACUUACGUUGAAAAGUGAGCGGAUGAACUGAGGGUAGCGGAGAAAUUCCAAUCGAACCUGGAGAUAGCUGGUUCUCUCCGAAAUAGCUUUAGGGCUAGCCUCAAGUGAUGAUUAUUGGAGGUAGAGCACUGUUUGGACGAGGGGCCCCUCUCGGGUUACCGAAUUCAGACAAACUCCGAAUGCCAAUUAAUUUAACUUGGGAGUCAGAACAUGGGUGAUAAGGUCCGUGUUCGAAAGGGAAACAGCCCAGACCACCAGCUAAGGUCCCAAAAUAUAUGUUAAGUGGAAAAGGAUGUGGCGUUGCCCAGACAACUAGGAUGUUGGCUUAGAAGCAGCCAUCAUUUAAAGAGUGCGUAAUAGCUCACUAGUCGAGUGACACUGCGCCGAAAAUGUACCGGGGCUAAACAUAUUACCGAAGCUGUGGAUUGUCCUUUGGACAAUGGUAGGAGAGCGUUCUAAGGGCGUUGAAGCAUGAUCGUAAGGACAUGUGGAGCGCUUAGAAGUGAGAAUGCCGGUGUGAGUAGCGAAAGACGGGUGAGAAUCCCGUCCACCGAUUGACUAAGGUUUCCAGAGGAAGGCUCGUCCGCUCUGGGUUAGUCGGGUCCUAAGCUGAGGCCGACAGGCGUAGGCGAUGGAUAACAGGUUGAUAUUCCUGUACCACCUAUAAUCGUUUUAAUCGAUGGGGGGACGCAGUAGGAUAGGCGAAGCGUGCGAUUGGAUUGCACGUCUAAGCAGUAAGGCUGAGUAUUAGGCAAAUCCGGUACUCGUUAAGGCUGAGC